ACGCGGAGUCGACAGUGGAAAAUUUCCAUGCUCUUGCUGUAUCAAAGGGAGAGUGACAGGCGCGCAACAAGGCAGGUUGCUUAUACACCAUCAUUUGUCAGGGGAAUGAGCUCUGACUGCCUCGAGACAUCAAACCGGAAGCAAUUAUACAAUUUCUAGGAGAAUUCUAAGGAAACAAACUCACUACAAUAUAAAUUCAUACCGUUUUGAUCUUUAAUUUCCAGACUGGCUCCCCUAGCUGCUGCACCAAUGGGUGUGAAGGUUCUCCAGUGUUUUCCCUGGUACAAGAGGUGUAAAGACAAGGGCAAGAGCAGAGACUGCGUCCCUAAAGAGGUUCCAUCCAUUGAGACAGAGCCCCAGUUUGCCCCGCCAACCUAUGCCAGUGAUGGUGCUGGAGGAGGAGUUGUCUACUUUUCCCACAAGGCAAGAGUGGCCUACAGACAUCGGAUGGAGGGCAACGUUAUAGACACCACCUACUGAGCCCCCAACCUCCAGCCCCUGCUGCAAAAACACCCCUCAAAGACUGUCUGCUCAGAAGCAUCUUUGUCUUACAACAGACAGUAUCCCAGUUCUUCAAUGAUCGUGUCUGGACAGAAGAAUACUAAAAUGAUGGUCAAACAUAAAAUGGUCAGAAAACUGUUCUUGUUUGUAUUUGUUCAGCUUAGUUCAGCUGAAGGUUUGAGAUAGGUGCUUGACUAAAGAUGGAGGCUGAGAAGCACUACUGAGAACUGUCUGAUAGCCAUUAGAACAUCUUUGACAGAUGGGAGAAAACACUUUUAGAUAGGGGUUGAGAAACUUUGUCUAUGCUAUUACCUUGAAGUGCAUUCUUCUUGUUUUCCUGUCGUUUUAUCAUUUGCACUUUAUUUAUUGUUCUAGGGUCAAAUUUGUGUACGUGUGUCUGCUAUACACCUAAUGGUUUUGCAUAUUUUUUGGGGCAUGUUUUGUAAUGGUCCAUUUUCUGUAAUAUCCCAUCUAGAAACUGGUGUUGUAGACUGGCCAUGACUAAUACACAGCUAUACGAUGAAUGUAAUAAUAACCGUCAAUGAUUACUGACACUUUAUAUUCUACUUGUAUUGUUGCUAUGAAAUAAUCAACAAAAGACUAAUGCUACAUUACUAGUAAUGUGACAAGUCACUUUUUAAAUAGUUUUGGAUAGCUGCAAAUAAAUGUUUUUGCCGUUUGAUUAUGGAACCCUUUCUAAUGUUCGGCCCAUGAUCUCUGUUACCCUAUCACAUCCUUUCAAAAGUUUUCAGAGUAAGACUGUGUAUUUUGGUAACACUGGGGAUGUACUUAACAAACAGGCCUUUAUGGCAGACAGACUCUGAACACUGGUUAAAGAUUAACACUUUAACCAGUGACUUGGCACCAAGACACGUGUUUUACAUACGAGAUGGCAACGGGUUAUGUAAUGCAUAUCAGAUAUAACGGUAAGAAGAAAGAGAGGAGAUCUUGGUUACUUCUCUGGAGAAAUACUACUGUAAAACAAACUACUGUAAAACAAAAGCUACAGGUACACACUAUAGGCAAUGGUAAUUGGCACACAUGUAACAUGGUAUGUAUCAAACCUUUAGAGAUAAGCAUCUAUUUAGUAUAUUUGGUAACACUAUAGUCAUAACUAACAUGAAGCAGGUGUCUCAGAGCCUAAGGUAGCCUGGUUGCUGUCUCUGGUACCCAGACUAGCUGUGAGGUGUCCUAAUGCCUACAGAUCUUAAUAAACAUGGAAAUCAAAUAA